rnacentral:lncRNA from 1 species
GAACUGGAUUUUAUAGAAGGUUGUAACGCUACCACAUGGAUGCUGGAAAUUGAACCUGAGUCCUCUGGAAAAGCAACCAGUGCUCUGUAGUGCACUGGACCAUCUCUCCAUCCCCCAUCAGUAUUCUUAACAACAACAAAAUUAUACUUUAUAACUUAUUUUUUCUUCUUUGCUGUGAACAAUAUUCCAGUUAUUCCUGAAUUAACAAGUAGCUUUUAACACUCACAUUCUAUUAAAUUAGUAGAUGUUCCAAAUUAGUAGCUCUACCACAAUUUAAGCAAGUCAUUUGACUGGUUUGGUAGGAUGGUAACUAUUUGGGAAUUUUUCACCCAGUUUCUCCAAAAUUUUGUGUUUGAUCCUGCAAAAACUGUAUUUAUACAGAUCUUAGAAAGUAUUUAUCAAUCAUAUUUUUACUUAAGAAUGAAUUAUGAGGCACUACUUGCUUCUGCAGAGGACCCAGGUUCCAUUCUCAGCUCCCAUAUGGCAGCUCACAACUGUCUGUAACUUCAGUUCCAGGGGAUCCAUUGCCUGCAUCUGACCUUUGAGGGCACCAGACAAUCAUGUGGUGCAUAUGCAUACAUAUAGGCAAAACAAUCAAAAAUAAAAUGAAUAAAUCUAAUUUUAAAAAGAAUAGGUUUUUUAAAACCUAUUGGGGGAUGGUUGUGCACACUUUUAAUCCCAGCAGCAGGGAGGCAAAGGCAAGAGAAUACCUGUGAAUUCAGUGUCAGCCUGGCCUAUAUAGUGAGCUCCAGAACAAACAAGGACUACAUAGAGACCCAAUCUCAAAACAAAACAAAAAGAGUGCAUUGUUAACCAGAUGUGGUGGUGGGUUAAUGCUUGUAAUCCCAGCGCUUGGGAAACAUAGAUGAGAAGAUCACUAGGAGUUCUAGGGCAGCCUGGGCUACAGGAUGAUACCUUGCCUCAAAACAAAGACAAGCAAACAGAAUUAAUUAUGAGAAGCAAAUGUCUAUAAUUUAAAGACAUAGUCACACACAUACAUUUUUAGCCAUAUACCACUGGAAAAGAUGAUAGACUGUAGAAUAUUUAUAACUGUCCAUAUAAAAGUGCUGCAUUCUCCUAAAAGUUCCUAUCAGCAUCAUUUCUUAUGGUUUUUUUUUAAGCUAGAAAUUAGUAUGUCUUUUUUGGCAAUUUCUUCAUUUUUAGACUUGUUAUUUUUAAGUGUGUGUUUGUAUAUGUGUAUCUGCAUGUGGACAUGUGCAUAUGAGUUCAGGUGCCCACAGAGGCCAGAAGAGGGUAUCAGAUCUCCUACAGGUGGAGUUAAGGAUGGCUGUGAGUUACCUAAUUGGGUGCUGGAAACUGAGUUCAGGCCUUCUCCAAGAGCAAUGUGUGCUCUUAACUUCUGAGCCAUUUUUCUAGCCCUCUUUGAUUUCUUCUAAUAAAGUGAAACUUUUCACACAUUUAUUGUUUAUAUCAUAGGUCAUUAGAAAAGUUUAAGAAGUCUGUAUAACUGAUAAAAUAUAAAAAAUUAUGUUGUGUUUUAAUUGAUCACCCUGUGUAGGUUGUUUAUUUUGAGACAGGGUCCCGUUGUGUAGCCCUAGCUACCCUGGAACUCAUGGUUGUCCUCUUGCCUCAGCCUCCCAAGUUUUUUAGAUUGGACAUCUUUUCAUGCUUUAUUUUUUGUAGUGCUAGAGAUUGAACCGAAGGUCUCAUGUGUGGCAGGCAAGCACUCAAUUAUGGUGAUGUAUCCCUGGAGCACCCUUUUCAAUACUUUUAGAGUACAGUAUCUCACUGUGUAGCCCACUGCGUAGUCUAAAACUUGUGUUCCUCCUGCCUCAGCCUCUAAAGUGCUAUAGGGUCAACUCUGUGAUGCUAGAAAGACACUUUAAAAUAAUAUUUUCAAAAAUAAACAACUAGUGACGAUAUAUGUGUAUAUAUGGAAAUUGUUAGUAGAAGUCUGCCUUGCUAUAGAUAAAAAAGAUACCGAUACCAGCGGUAUCUAAAUCUUUCUCACAAUAUGAAUAUAAUGAUUAGUUUUUUUAAAAACAGAGAGCUUGUUAAUCAUCCUUUCCCAAGAGGGUGAGGAGAGAGACAAGAGUGGCUUCUCUAGGCAUGGAUACUUUUAAGCCUCGUGUCCUGUGUAGCAGACACUUUCAUCUUCUGAGCAGGAAGCAGUACUCAAAAGGUAGAGAUGAGUUAACUCUAACUGGCUCUUAUGGGGAAGGAUGAUUCACUAUAAACUGUUAAAAAACAAAAAACAAAAAACAAAUGUAUUAGUAGCUGGCUCAGUGGUCAAGAGCUCUUCCAGAGGUCCUGAGUUCAAUUCCCAGCAACCACGUGGUUGCUCACAGCCAUCUGUAAUGGAAUCCAGUGUCCUCUUCUGGGAUGUCUGAAGACAGCUACAAUGUACUCACAUAUAUAAAAUAAAUAAAUCUUCUAAAAAUCU